rnacentral:tRNA from 2 species
AGUAAGGUCAGCUAAAUAAGCUUUUGGGCCCAUACCCC